GCCCGGAUAGCUCAGUCGGUAGAGCGUGAGGCUUUUAAGACAUCUCCGUGAUAGUCUUGGGAACCUUAAGGCCGUGGGUUCGAGCCCCACUCCGGGCG
rnacentral:tRNA from 1 species